rnacentral:lncRNA from 1 species
UAAGAAACCUGAAAUGGUAACACAUAUGAUCUGUUGUAACAUUCAUAACUGUAAAUUGCACGGUGGCAUACCAAGUACCUUUACCGUCCUGGACCAAUUAUGCUGGCCCCUGGCGACUAUGGUUGCAACCAUACUUUAACAUGUAUACCGCAUUGUGACAUACCAAGAACCUUUACCGUCUUGGACCAAUUAUGGUGGCUCCUAGCGAUAUUUAAUUUAACUCAAAUAUGGUAAACACAUAAUAUUAAAAUGGACAA